UGUUCAGUUUAUUAAUAUGAUUGUGUAUUAGGGUUAAUCCCUCUCUUCUUGUUCUUUGUUCGAUUGUUAUUUUGUUCUUGAUUGAUGGGUUGAAUUCAUGGUCUCCUGGGAUCGAUACAACAUACAAGAAUGUAAAAAUAUUUCUAACUUGGAAAGUUCAGUGCUGUUUGUCUUGUAGAAAGUUCAAGGGUCAAAGUUGCGCUAGUAAAGUUGUACGAAACAUGAAGAUUGAAAGCUGGAUUCUGUUUGAGCUGGAUGUAUGCAGUUUAGAAGUUCAAGGGCUAAAAUGGAAGAUAUCAUCAUCUGUUCCCACUUCAUCACCUCUAUAAAUGGAAUCCACCCUACCUCACCUUCAUCAUAUCCUCAAAAUUUCAAACUUCCUAAAAGAUGGAAAACUCUCUACGCUCAUGUUUCACGGUGGCCUUUAUGGUGCUUCUACUAUCGGCUGGGCACCUUCAACCGACUGAAGCACAAUCUAGAUGUGAUUCAGUGCAGCUCAGCUGGUGUUUGCAGUCCAUUGUCUCAAACAUUCCGCCGUCCCAAGAAUGCUGCCGGAGACUCAGGACUCAGGAAGCUUGUCUUUGCCGCGAAACAAGGGACCCAACAUUUGGUGGCUAUCUUAGACAUCCCGGUGCUAGGAGGGUAGCCACCGCAUGUGGUGUAACAUUCCCUAGAUGUGACUGAUCGAAUUCGCGACCGACUGUGGUAUAUUACGGUAGUAGUUACGUGUUAUGUGCGUGUAACGGUAGUAUAUCACUUUUGUUGUUGUUUGUUUUCGUGUCUUUGUAAUUGUUUCCGUCCUGUUGUCUGGGUUGGUAUGUUUUGUAUUUAUAUAUAUAUGUACAAUUGUAUGUUAUGAUUGUUAUUAUACAUGUAUGUACUAUUGUAUGUUGAUAUGAUAAUUAAUAAAUAAUUUUUUGAGUGUG